rnacentral:rRNA from 1 species
UACGGGGGGGGCAAGCGUUGUUCGGAAUUACUGGGCGUAAAGGGCUCGUAGGUGGCCAACUAAGUCAGACGUGAAAUCCCUCGGCUUAACCGGGGAACUGCGUCUGAUACUGGAUGGCUUGAGAUUGGGAGAGGGAUGCGGAAUUCCAGGUGUAGCGGUGAAAUGCGUAGAUAUCUGGAGGAACACCGGUGGCGAAGGCGGCAUCCUGGACCAACACUGACACUGAGGCGCGAAAGCUGGGGGAGCGAACGGG